UUAUCCUUUUAAUUUUGUUCCAUAAUGAUAGAGUUUAUGUAAAAAAAAUUAAAUAAGAAGAAUAUUUACAUGGGAAGUUGCUAAUUAAUACUUCGAGAAAUAAAAUAAAAAAUCUUUGUUAGGCUACGGCUGAUCAACGUUAAAGCCCGUCAAACCAAAAGUAAGAUUAAAACCUGUUUAUUUGUCUUUUGGAACAAUAAAACUUUCAUUUUUCUUCAUCUAGGAACUAAUCCUAUGCUUUGAUCAGCCUUAGUAUUCACUGUUAAGUUAAUAUCAUAUUUUUCUCUAUUGAAUAUUAUUUUGAGGCUCAUGUAAAUACCUUUUAACUUCUCACAUCAUAAAUAUUUUAAUAGUAAAGGCAAUUAUUAGGCUACAUCCUAUGUACGUCUACACACUUGCCUAUUCCACUAUAUAGAGGGUGUCACAAUUCCCUCCAGAUCGUGGAAGACUCUCCUCCACGCCUAACUUCCAGUAACUUUUUUUAUGGGAUCAUAUUGAAGAUUGUGCAUUCAUACCUCAUAUGCUUAGUGAUUUAAUGAAAUUACCACUGGGUUCGUUACCAUUGAUCAUUACUUGUUGCAGUCAGUGUGACAAAAACUUAAAUUUUUAACUUGAAUUCUGCCGCAUUACCAAAAGUUCACAUAUUAAAUAUUUUUUUUUAUUUUAAAAAAGUGAUGUUUCUUUAUGAGAUAAAGUAAAAUUCGUUCAUGCAAUAGAUAUUCUUAUUAGCAAUGAAAAUUUAGUAGUCCAAUAAGACCACUUGGGUAUUUAUUUAGUGGUCCAAAGCCUUAAUAGGGUCGAAAAAUUUGAGAAAAAUAAUUGAACUUUACAAUUACGUAAUUCAUAUUAUGGUAGACAUUAACAAUUAUUAAAUGCCGUCUAUAACUCAUUAGGUUUGUUAGCCCAUAAUGACUGAAUAUUAGUAUUCAUUAAAAUUAAAUGUAAAGGAGCUAAAUUAGUAUUAGUAAAUAUAUUCAAUAUAGAGAUUUAAAUACUGAUACCAAAUAAAUGAGGGAAACAGAGUAAGUAAGAGUUAAUAAAAUAUGUCAAAAAUUAAUCAUCUAAACUUCUAAGAGAGCAAAAAAUGCUAUUUUAUUGAUUAACUAUUACAUUGUCAGUACUUGAAUGAAAAGCACAGCACAACAUGUAAAUUUAAAAUUUCAACAUUUAAAUUAAAAAAAUUUUUUUUAUCGGACUCUUUUUUUUAUUCCAUUUAAAUACCAUGCAUUCGAAUUCCAUACCAAGCGUAGCAAAUUCCAGUAAUUAUUAUUUUUUUUAAUUGCAUGGAAUAUAAUGCAAAAAGCAAUUUUUUGAUACUGUUCUAUAAUUUCCAAACAUAUUUCAAGGAGACAAAUUUGUCUCUCAUGUGAAGGAUUUUUAAGGACAUUUGUGGAACAAUCUGUGACAAUUGUCACAAUGCUGGCGUGAACUAGAGUUAUGGUAAUGUUUUGUUUGUUAUAAGCCUUCUAAAUCAUUGAGGGAAUUGGUACACACCCUAUAUUUGCAGCAAUGGAAAUAUUCUUAAUUUUUUGCUUAAAUUUUUUUUUAUUAAUAUCCAAGCUAUUUUUCAAUUCAUAUGUGAUUUGUGUACUUUAAUAUUAAAUAUUUACUAGGUUCAAAGCCGAAGUUAUUGUUCAAAAAGUUUAUUAUUUUUUAUCUGGAAUGACAAAUCUUGCUAUAUUGUUUGGCUUUUUAUACUUUUCUGUAGCGUGGUUAUAGUUUUAUAUAUAUAUAUACAGGAAAUAACUUUUUGUUUUCUAGAAAAUGUGUAUUGAGGUCAUUUAAAAACAUACUUGUCAUGUAAUAGGAACAUUUUUAGAAAAGUUUUUGACUUAAAGAAGAAGACAAACAUUUUAUUGCAUAAAAAGAUUACUUGCCGUGGUAAAAAAAAGUUUUCUGUUGAAUAUAUUGUUAAAGUUUUUGAGAUCAGCUGCUUUGGUCUGAAUGUUGAAAUCAACAGUGAAAAUAUGUACAUUAAAAAAGUCUGUUAUAAUGGCAGUUUUGUAAGUGAAUACACAUAAUCGAAGUUAAAAUAGCAAUAUCAGAACUAAGAAAUGAAGUAGACAUAUUUACCUCCUUUUCAUUUAUUUUGAACAACUAUUUUGAUUUUUAAUACUUAACUCAAUUAGACUGCCUUUGCCAACAGAUUAUAGAUAGAAUUUCGUAACUCUGUAUUUUAAUGAAAGGCGGAAAUAUCUAUGUCGGGAAUAUUUGAACAACAAGUUUCCAAAUUGUAAAAAGUUUUUAUAAAAAUUCAAAUGAAGUGCAAUAAUUUUGACAUCAUUGAUAAUAAUGAUUGUAAAUUGUUUAGAAAGAAAUAUGAUGUUGGUCAACGGAAAUCACAUUAUUUUAAAGACGAACUUUUAUUUUGUUAAGAAGACAAAUUAUCUGAUGAUCACUCACACAUUGCAUUAUACAAAAAGAGGUUAAAAUUUCAAGUUGACAAAAAAUUUAAAUUUUUUGCUUUUCUCUAUUGAUAUCAAAAAUAAAUAAAAAUGACUUCCAUAAAAGCUUUUUCCGUGCAAUAUUUUUUAUUAAGCAGCAGAAAACAUAUUUCCUUAAAAAUGUUUGUCAUAACAGAGGAAGACUGGUAAGUUUUUCCUCGUUCAAAUGAUAAUUGACGUAUUAUUAGCAUUUUGACAGUUUCUUGGAAAUUUGUGGUCUUUUCAUACUAUGUCAUAAUAUUCAUAAUAUGUCAUACAUAUAAACAAUUAGGUUCUCAUUUGUUGCCAUUAUAUAAAUUCCUAUUUCAGCACUUUUUAAUAAUAACAAUUUAAAUGACCUAAGUUUUUUGAAGCUGAAGUUCACAUGUGUGAUUGAUUAAGAUUCUCUUUGCAAGUCUUUUGAAAAUGUCUUAAAAUAUUAGAAAAAAAAUACAUAAAAAAAGUUUCUCUCAUAAUUGUUUUUAUAUAAUGAAUGCAAACAACUGUAUUAUUAAUUUUAAUUUUAUUAUUUUAUCCAAUAAUGAAUUUCCCCUUUUAACUAAUGCUUAAAAUCUUGUGUUUUAGAGUUUUGUCUGAGAACAUUUAAUUCUGGUCAAGACUUGGUGCAGCACGUAGAAGCUCAUCUUUUUAGUUGCAUAGAAUGCCCGUAUUCCACACCUUUCAAAAGCAAUUUAACGAAGCACGUCAGGAUUCACACGGGUGAGCGUCCCUACAAAUGUGACGUCUGCAGUCGCACCUUCAUACAAACGAACUCUAUGAAGAGGCAUUAUGCAAAUGUUCAUUCAAAAAUUAUUCCAGGAAGACUUCAAAAGAAUCAUCUUAGUUACUAACAGAGCGUGAAAUCCACUCAUGAAGAAAAGGAUGAAUUAGACGCAAUUUACGGGAAAUGAGACGUAUGAGUAAGUGUACGCUUGUCAUAUUUGUCGGAGGAGCUGUAUUUCUGCUGGCGCUCUGAUGUUGCACAUGCAAGCUCAUCGUUUUAGUUGCACACUGUGUCCUUACUCUACACCUUUCAAGUGUAAUUUAACAAAGCACAUGAGGAAACAUACUGGUGAACGUCCAUACAAAUGUAACAUUUGUGGCCGUGCCUUCACCGAAAGUGGUGCAAUGAAGAAGCAUGUUAAAAUGAUUCAUGAAAAAGAUUCUUAUAGAGAAAUCUUGAAAAAUUAGGUUUAAAUACUAUUAAGAGAGUAGGACUAUUUUGUUCUAAUAUCUGUAUUUUUAUUUAAAAUUUUAAUAAAACUUUUUGAUUUCAUGUUCUUUUUUACCCAUUAUUUGAUUUAAUAUCUUUUUAGUAAAAGAUUUCAAGGUAGUUGAAUUUUUUUUUAUUUACAGUAUGAUAGUAACAUACUUUAAAUCUUACUUAGAUAACUUUAAUAUCCACUUUUUAUAAGAUUCGUUCUUUAUUUUUGCAGCAUUAGUUUUUUUUUUUUGAAUUUUCAAUGAGUGAAAAUAUUUUCUAUUGUUUUCAAAUAUAAUUUUAAAAAUUUCUAUAUUUUAUUCCGAUAUUAUGACUGUAUAAAGAGGACGCUAUACUGCGGGAGAAAAUUUUCGUCAAAAAUUCUCUUUCUCCUUUAUUUCUAAUUUAAAGUGUAGAAAAAAUGAGUUCAGACAAAGCUAGUGUAAGCCAUGAAGUUUUAAAUACUAAAAAGAACAUUUUAAAAUGUACAAAUGAAAUAAAUGAUGAGAUAAUAACUUAGGAGUACACAACGGAGAAGUUCUAAUUAAUAAUUUGAUCAACAGAGAAGUUCUAAUAAUAAUAAAAAUCUCUUCUAAUAAUUUGUUUGCAUUUUAAUAUUUUAAAGUAUUUUUUUCAGCAAUUGAAAAAUCAUGACAAACUCUAGAUUUGCCUGAACUUUUUCUUUCUUUUAAAUUAUUAAUGGAGGAGAAAGUGAAUUUGCGACGAAAAUUUUCUUCUGCAGUAUAGCGUCCUCUUAACAUUAAAUAGGCAUAAAGUAAUUAGCCUUAUCCUUUAUUUUAUUCAGUUAAACUGUACAGGUUGUUCUGUAAAGACUCCCCUUUAUAUAUAUUUUUAGAAUACUCAUAAAAAAAGAAAAUAAAAGUACAUUCAAUGAGGUCAAAUAAUUAAUAUUUAAGUGAGUAAAAAACAAAAAUGCAACGACUGGAAAACAAAUGUAAUAAACAUCAAAACAGGUUGAAACUUGAAGGUGUUUCUAAUUAUAAGCUUUUAGCUCUUCUCUAUUUCCUCCUGCUAUUAAACCUAUCAUGUUGCUAAUUACGACUGCUCUUUCUUGUACUGUGAUUCAUCAAAUUUCGAUUGCAUUCAUUUUUUUCCUCUCUUAAACAUUAACUUGCUACUCGCAAUGUGUGUACUUUUUUGUUAUUUUAGUUGAGAAUUUUAAAAUGUGCAUAUUAAAAGUGAUUUUAAAGAGACACACAGUGUAUCUUUGAAGUAUAAUACUUUGAAAAAAUGCAUA